AAUGAACGCUGGCGGCGUGCUUAACACAUGCAAGUCGCACGAGAACGCUUCAGCUUGCUGAGGCUAGUAAAGUGGCGGACGGGUGAGUAACGCGUGGGUAACCUACCCAUAAAGCCGGGACAACCCUUGGAAACGAGGGCUAAUACCGGAUAAUCUUAAGGCUUGGCAUCAAGUUUUAAGGAAAGGUGGCCUCUGAAGAUGCUACCGAUUAUGGAUGGACCCGCGUCUGAUUAGCUAGUUGGUGGGGUAAAGGCCUACCAAGGCGACGAUCAGUAGCCGGCCUGAGAGGGUGAACGGCCACACUGGGACUGAGACACGGCCCAGACUCCUACGGGUGGCAG
rnacentral:rRNA from 1 species